GACUGCUUCAAUAGCCUAGUGCUUAGAGCAUCCACCUCAGAUGCGGAAGGUCUUGGGUUUGAUCCCCGAUUGAGUCA